UCUUAUGAAGUUAGCGGCGGACGGGUGAGUAACACGUGGGUAACCUGCCCAUAAGACUGGGAUAACUCCGGGAAACCGGGGCUAAUACCGGAUAACAUUUUGAACCGCAUGGUUCGAAAUUGAAAGGCGGCUUCGGCUGUCACUUAUGGAUGGACCCGCGUCGCAUUAGCUAGUUGGUGAGGUAACGGCUCACCAAGGCAACGAUGCGUAGCCAACCUGAGAGGGUGAUCGGCCACACUGGGACUGAGACACGGCCCAAACUCCUACGGGAGGCAGCAGUAGGGAAUCUUCCGCAAUGGACGAAAGUCUGACGGAGCAACGCCCCGUGAGUGAUGAAGGCUUUCGGGUCGUAAAACUCUGUUGUUAGGGAAGAACAAGUGCUAGUUGAAUAAGCUGGCACCUUGACGGUACCUAACCAGAAAGCCACGGCUAACUACGUGCCAGCAGCCGCGGUAAUACGUAGGUGGCAAGCGUUAUCCGGAAUUAUUGGGCGUAAAGCGCGCGCAGGUGGUUUCUUAAGUCUGAUGUGAAAGCCCACGGCUCAACCGUGGAGGGUCAUUGGAAACUGGGAGACUUGAGUGCAGAAGAGGAAAGUGGAAUUCCAUGUGUAGCGGUGAAAUGCGUAGAGAUAUGGAGGAACACCAGUGGCGAAGGCGACUUUCUGGUCUGUAACUGACACUGAGGCGCGAAAGCGUGGGGAGCAAACGGGAUUAG
rnacentral:rRNA from 1 species